UGGGGAAUAUUGCACAAUGGGCGCAAGCCUGAUGCAGCGACGCCGCGUGAGGGAUGGAGGCCUUCGGGUUGUAAACCUCUUUCGCCAGUGAAGCAGGCCAUCUUCUUUGUGGGGUGGUUGACGGUAGCUGGAUAAGAAGCGCCGGCUAACUACGUGCCAGCAGCCGCGGUAAUACGUAGGGCGCGAGCGUUGUCCGGAAUUAUUGGGCGUAAAGAGCUCGUAGGCGGCUGGUCGCGUCUGUCGUGAAAUCCCCUGGCUUAACUGGGGGCUUGGGGUGGGUACGGGCCGGCUUGAGUGCGGUAGGGGAGACUGGAAUUCCUGGUGUAGCGGUGGAAUGCGCAGAUAUCAGGAGGAACACCGGUGGCGAAGGCGGGUCUCUGGGCCGUUACUGACGCUGAGGAGCGAAAGCGUGGGGAGCGAACAGG
rnacentral:rRNA from 1 species